rnacentral:tRNA from 1 species
GGUUGUGGCUCAGUGGUAGAGCACUUGCCUAGUAUGCAUGAAGACUGGGUUCAAUUCCCCAAUAUCA